rnacentral:lncRNA from 1 species
GUUUUGGAGUGCAGGCGUGAAUAGUCCUUUCUGUCCUGCUUUGAGUACUGCUGUUGGGUGCCUUGGGGGGACCUUAAGGGAGCUCGGAAGUUGAGACGUGGUGAGUGCGAGAUCACUGCCCACAAAGGGGAGGAGCAGGCGGAUGAACAGCCAGAGCUGCAAUGGUGGAUCCUCCUCCAGGGCUGCAUGGGACGACAGAUAGAUGAGGCUCUAGGACGGGCACAAAUGCUACCCGAAUGCAAACCACUCCGGAGAUCUGUAAAAGGACUGGCCCCGGACAGGAAGCACACUUUAAACUAGAGGCGGGGUAAGACUCGUGGGCCAAUCAAGGCUUCCGAACAGAACUGCCAUUCUGGCAAUGAGGCGGGGUCUUCCGGUUGCCUGCUGGAAGUUUGUUUUUGCUCUGCAGGAUUGAAGGGUUCUCCCUAUGCUGCUUUGAGCGCUGCUAUUGGGUGCCUUGAGGGGACCUCAAGUAAGCUCCAUUUUUGAAACAUGAUCUUCAUCCACAUCUUGAAGUUUGAAGUUUGGCCAAGAAUAUACAAAAUAGAUUCUCUUUCUCAGGAUGGCAAGUGUUCAUGACAUCAAUACUACCCAAGGCUUCAGAGUCAUUGGAUUGCAGGAUGCAGUGACUUAUGAUGAUGUGCGUGUGAACUUCACUGAGGAAGAGUGGGAUUUGCUGGAUCCUUCCCAGAAAAGUCUCUAUGAAGAGGUGAUGCUAGAGACAUACCAGAACAUCACUGCUAUAGGUAAGACUGAAUUUCCUCUUGCUUUUCUGAAUAAGGGACAAAUAUUUCUUUGUUAUUGAUCCUCUGUUGUUUCAAUUGAAGAGGAGGAAGAAUGAGCUUACAGGCAUGAAAGAAUUCAUAUUGGAGAGAAACCGUAUGAACGUAACCAAUGGGGUAAAGCCUUUGCAAGUGACAAUCAUCUCCAAAUACGUAAAAGAACAAAUACUGGAGAGAAACCUUAUGAAUGUAAUCAAUGUGGUAAAGCCUUUUCACAACAGAGUAGUCUCCAGUAUCAUAAAAGAACAUAUGCUGGACAGAAACCUUAUGAAUGUAAUCAGUGUGGUAAAGCCUUGUCAUGUCAAAGAAAUCUCCAAUAUCAUAAAAGAACACAUACUGGAGAGAAACCCUAUGAAUGUAAUCAGUGUGGUAAAGCCUUCACACAUUACAAUAAUCUCCGAUAUCAUAAAAGAACACAUACUGGAGAAAAACCUUAUGAAUGUAAUCAGUGUGGUAAAGCCUUUGCACGUUACAAUAAUCUCCAGUGUCAUAAAAGAACACAUACUGGAGAGAAACCUCAUGUGUGUGAUCAAUGUGGUAAAACCUUUGCAUGGCAGUAUACUCUCCAAAAACAUAAAAGAAUACAUACUGGAGAGAAACCUUAUCAAUGUAGUCAAUGUGAUAAAGCAUUUUCAGAACACAGUAGUCUUCAAUAUCAUAAAAGAACACAUACUGGAGAGAAACCUUAUGAGUGUGAUCAAUGUGGUAAAGCCUUUGCUUGGCAGUGUAGUCUCCAUAUCCAUAAAAGAACACAUUCUGGAGAGAAACCUUAUGAGUGUAAUGAAUGUGGUAAAGCCUUUGCACAUCACACUAGUCUCCAAAGUCAUAAAAGAAUACAUACUGGAGAGAAACCUUAUCAGUGUGAUCAGUGUGGUAAAGCAUUUGCACAUCAAAAUAAUCUCCAAUAUCAUAAAAGAACACAUACUGGAGAGAAACCAUAUGAAUGCAAUCAAUGUGGUAAAGCCUUUGCAAGUCACAGUCAUCUCCAAAUACAUGAAAGAACACAUUUUAGAAAAAACCCUUAGAAUGCAAUCAAUGUUGUAAAGACUUUGGAUGUAAGACUAAUCUCCAAAGACAUAAAGGAAUAUAUAUGGGACAGAAACCUUAUGAAUGUAAUCAAUGUGGUAAAGCAUUUGCAACUCACAGUCAUCUACAAUGACAUAAAAGAACACAGAGGAGAGAAACCUGGUUAUUGUUUACAUAUUGACAUAAGGAGAUGCAAGUAUGUAUCAACUUGACAAGGGAUGGAUUGUGAUUGCUACUCUUGGUUUUCAAUAUAAGAUCUAAAGUGGAAAGCAUAGGUCCAGGCAUGGUGGUACAUGCCCUUGAACCCUAGGAGAUGAGCAUCAAGCAGAUCUCUGAGUUCAAGUCCAUCCUGAUACAGAACAAGUUUCAGGUGAAGAAAAGCUAAGGUCUAGGCCGGUGGAUACAGAGCCUUGCAGAUCUCUGAGUUCAAGGUCAGUAUAUAGAGCAAGUUCCAGGACAGCCAAGCUGAGGCAGUAAAGGAGUUGGAGAACAGAAAACUGGUGAUAAUGUAAUAGAAGAGGCCAUGUCCCAGGCCCAGAAAGCAGCAGAGCUCAGCAACUUUGUCCAUGUGGCUCUGACUUUAGAGGUAAGAAUAGAAGGGACUACUGGGAAAAUUGAAGCUUGUUAGCUGUGGAUGAGAAAUUAGAAGUGAUGAAGAAGAGACCAGCAUCAUUGAGGUGAAAUUUUCUAGGAAGUGUUUUCUGAGAGGACAAAGAAACUGUGUUCCAGAGAUAGCCAGGAUUGUACCUUGUGUUGCAGCUGAACUUGGUCACAUGUAAGAAUCAUCCAGGUGGUACUGGUUUUGAAGGCAUGACGGUGUCAUGAGGAGCAGCUGAGGCUUGGACCAAUGAAGGGAGCAUAAGUGAGACUAUCAGUGAAGCCUAGUUGCAGGAGAAGAACCCAACAUAUUGAAGAUGCCAGUCCAAUGGGAUGAGCAGAAAGAACAGCCCAGUAGAGUGGAGUCAACCAGAGCUUAGAGUGAUACAGAGGUCAGAGCUAGAGAAGUGACCUUAUCUCUUUGGAGGACUGCAGAAGAUCAUGUGUGGAUCCAAGACAUUGGAGCAAGAAGCUGUAACACUGAGGUUACCUUCCAGACCCCAAGAUCUUUGAGAUGUCAGAGCUGUGGGGUACCUGCUCAGGAAAACCAGCCAAAGAGAAAGAAUUGUGCUGCAGUUAACAAAGCAUAAAAGGAGUUGGAGAUCUAAAGAAUGCUUUAACAUGACACAUGGAGAUGCAGUUUCAAGAUUUCCAAGUUGACUUUUGGUUUUGUUUUCGUCCAGUAAUUCCUCAUGAUGACAUUUUGGAAUGGUGAAGUCUAUGUUGUGAAGUUGGAAUUAUAUGAUCUGCAUUUAGAUUUUUCUUUUUUAGGGGAUUACAGUUACAUUGAAUGAAUCUCAGAAGAGACUUUGACCUUUGGACUUUUAACGUAUUUGAGACUGGUAUAGAUGAUGGGGACUUUUGAGGUUGGACCUCGUGUAUUUUUCAUUAUGCAUGUUUAAAUAUGUUCCUUAUACAUUCCUGUACUCCAACAUGCUUAAGGGGGCCAGUGAGUGGAAUGUGGGAGUUUGAAUAUGCUUGUGACAGGGAGUGACUCUAUUCAGAGGUGUGACCUUGUAGGAGAAAGUGGAUAUCUCUGGGGGUGGACUUUGAAGCUCCACCAAGUGCAAAACAGACCCUCCUAUUCCCUCUCUGGAAGACAGUUUCUUCCUGGCUGCCUUUGGAUCAAAAUGCAGAACUCUCAGCUCCUUCUCCAGCAUCAUGUCUGCCUGCAUGCUGCUGUGCUUCCUCUGAAACUGUAAGCCAGCCCCAAUUAAAGGUUUGCUUUUAUGAGAGUUGCCAUGGUCAUGAUGUCUAUUCCUAGCAAUGGAAACACUAAGACAGAAACCUUGGGAGUGUAUUUAAUAUAGUGAAACCUUUUCACAAUUCUGUAGGCUUCAUCAUCAUGAAAGAAUAUAUACUGGAGCCAGACAGUGGUGGUGCAUGCCUUUAAUCCCAUCACUUGGGAGGAAGAUGCAGGCAGACUUCUGAGUUCUCGGCCAGCCUGGUCUACAAAGUGAUUUCCAGGACAGCCUGGGCUAUAGAGAGAAACCCUGUCUUGAAAAACCAAAACAAACAAAAGAGUAUGUCCUGGAGAGAAACCUUUUGAAUGUACUUCCUAUGGUUAGGCUUCUUCCUACGGUUAAGAAGGAAUCACUUUGACAGAUACAGUUCUCAUUCUCUGUCUUUAGAACCUGAGCAUCACCCAGGAGUUCAUGACAAGCUCCUUCUUGGACCCUGUCUACAUGUGUUAAAUCAGAAGUUUUGCUCUCAGUAUAUGACUCCUAGAAAAAUAAUUAAAGGUGGCCCCUGAACUCUAUAUUUCUGACUCUCCAGUUACUACUAAUCUAUCUUUCAAGCAGAGGCCCCAUAUCCUUGAGCUCUCUGGGAGCAGAGGUGAUCAGAAAGGUAGUCAAGGGCUCUGAAGCCCCUCAGGCACACGCGAGGUUUCAGGCAACACCAGCCCCACUCUGAAGCACACACACAAAAUCCUGUUGAGGAUUAAUCUAAUGCCUGCUCUCUGACACAGCGUUUGCAACACAGCAGGUAGAACUUGCCAUAUCCACCCAACAAACCCCAUACACAUCUAGGAAACUUCUACAGCUCAGAAACUCCUGUUGUACCUGAAAUUGGAUUUCCCAGAAUCAUGCCAGGUUCAAUGGUGGCAGUGGAAAAGUGAAAAUAUUCUGAUCAAGUAUUGCUAAACAAUGAUCCCCAUCACUGCCUUUAUACGACUUUCAAAUACUUCAUAACAUAUGUCACACAACAGUGAAUGUGUUUGAGCCUAUCCCUAACCCCUAACCCUAACCACUAAUUCCUUACCCUGUUAUCUCUUGACUCUCCUCUAUGUAUACUGAAUAGAGUAUAGAAUUAGGCUUAGAUUGAUGCCAGUUUGUCAUUAAUGUUUGCCUGAAGACAGACUUUUUUCCCAUAUGUAUUUCCUUCAAGUCUCAUACUCUAAGUGCCUUAAAUGCCUCACUUAUUCCUUCACAACUUGCAAGCAUUUUUGUAGGGUUUUAUUUUUCAUAUUGGAACGUUCCUUCAUAAUCUACAUAUAACGCCUACUUUGUUAAAACUGUUUCAAUGUUUCAUCACUCUAACAUUUUAUAUUUGCUAAUACCAUAAGAUACAAUAGGUUUAACAAAUCCACCAUCUCCUGUGAGAACAUUUAUUCAAGGGUGGGGAAUAAGCAAUGUUUAUCUCCUCUUUCUAAGUUCUCAGUGGCACCACAUCUCAAAAUUACCAUAGUUCAACCAAAGAUGCCAGUGAAAUUACUGAGUUUCCCUUAUAAAAUAUUGACAAGGUGUUUCUUAUGAGACCUGGAUAUCCUAGAAUCAGUCACAAUAAAAAUGCUUUACUCAUUAUGUAUGGAGACAAUUUCACAUUACAUAAAUAGUUAUACCUCUUCCCCCGAUAAAACUACUGGCCAGCCAUGUCCUCUUUUUGGCAUGAAAGAAUUCAUAUUGGAGAGAAACCGUAUGAACGUAACCAGUGUGGUAAAGCCUUUGCAAGUGACAAUCAUCUCCAAAUACAUAAAAGAACAAAUACUGGAGAGAAACCUUAUGAAUGUAAUCAAUGUGGUAAAGCCUUUUCACAACGCAGUAAUCUCCAAUAUCAUAUUAGAAGUCAUACUGGAGAGAAGCCCUAUAAAUGUAAUCAGUGUGGUAAAGCCUAUGGACAUCACAGUAGUCUCCAAUAUCAUAAAAGAACACAUACUGGAGAGAAACCUUAUCACUGUAAUCAAUGUGAUAAAGCAUUUUCAGAACACAGUAGUCUUGAAUAUCAUAAAAUAACACAUACUGGAGUGAAACCUUAUGAGUGUGAUCAAUGUGGUAAAGCCUUUGCAUGGCAGUCUAGUCUCAAUAUACAUAAAAGAACACAUUCUGGAGAGAAACCUUAUAAGUGUAAUGAAUGUGGUAAAGCCUUUGCACAUCACAAUAGUCUCCAAUGUCAUAAAAGAACACAUACUGGAGAGAGACCUUAUCAGUGUGAUCUGUGUGAUAAAGCAUUUACUCAUCAAAAUAAUCUCCAAUAUCAUAAAAGAACACAUACUGGAAAGAAUCCUUAUGAAUGCAAUCAAUGUGGUAAAGCCUUUGCAAGUCACAGUCAUCUCCAACUACAUGAAAGAACACAUUUUAGAAAAACACCUUAGAAUGCAAUCAAUGUUGUAAAGACUUUGGAUGGAUGACUAAUCUCCAAAGACAUAAAAGAACAUAUACUGGACAGAAACCUUAUGAAUGUAAUCAAUGUGGUAAAGCAUUUGCAACUCACAGUCAUCUACAGCGACAUAAAAGAACACAGAGGAGAGAAACCUGGUUAUUGUUUACAUAUGGACAUAAGGAGAUACAAGUAUGUAUCAAAUUGACAAGGGAUGGAUUGUGAUUGCUGCUCUUGGUUUUCAAUAUAAGAUCAAAAGUGGAAAGCAUAGGUCCAGGCAUGGUGGUACAUGCCCUUGAACCCUAGGAGAUGAGCAUCAAGCAGAUCUCUGAGUUCAAGUCCAUCCUGAUACAGAACAAGUUAAAGGUGAAGAAAUUCUUAGGUCUAGCCCUGUGGAUACAGAGCUUUGCAGAUUUCUGAGUUCAAGGUCAAUAUAUAGAGCAAGUUCAAGGACAGCCAAGCUGAGGAAGUAAAGGAGUUGGAGAACAGAAAACUGGUGAUAAUGUAAUAGAAGAGGCCAUGUCCCAGGCCCAGAAAGCAGCAGAACUCAGCAACUUUGUCCAUGUGGCUCUGACUUUAGAGGUAAGAAUAGAAGGGACUACUGGGAAAAUUGAAGUUCGUUAGCUGUGGCUGAGAAAUUAGAAGUGAUGAAGAAGAGACCAGCAUCAUUGAGGUGAAAUCUUCUAGGAACUGUUUUCUGAGAGGACAAAGAAACUGUGUUCAGAGAUAGCCAGGAUUGUACCUUGUGUUGCAGCUGAACUUGGUCUCAUGUAAGAAUCACCCAGGUGGUACUGGUUUUGAAGGCAUAACAGUGUCAUGAGGAGCAGCUGAGGCUUGGACCAAUGAAGAGAGCAUAAGUGAGACUAUCAGUGAAGCCUAGUUGCAGCAGAAGAACCCAACAUAUUGAAGAUGCCAGUCCAAUGGGAUGAGCAGAAAGAACAGCCCAGUAGAGUGGAGUCAACAAGAGCUUAGAGUGAUACAGAGGUCAGAGCUAGAGAAGUGACCUUAUCUCUCUGGAGGACUGCAGAAGAUCAUGUGUGGAUCCAAGACAUUGGAACAAGAAACUGUAACACUGAGGUUACCUUCGAGACCCCAAGAUCUUUGAGAUGUCAGAGCUGUGGGGUACCUGCUCAGGAAAAACCAGCCAAAGAGAAAGAAUUGUGCUGCAGUGAACACAGCAGAAAGGAGUUGGAGAUCUGAAGAAUGCUUUAACAUCAGACAUAGAGAUGCAGUUUGGAGAUUUCCAAGCUGACUUUUGGUUUUGUUUUGGUCCACUAUUUCCUCAUGAUGACAUUUAGGAUUGUUAAAGUCUAUGUUUUGAAGUGGUAGUAUAUGAUCUGCUUUUAGAUUUUCUUUUUUAGGGGAUUACAGUUACAUUGAAUGAAUCUCAGAAGAGACUUUGACCUUUGGACUUUUAACAUUUUUGAGAGUGGAAUAGAUGAUGGGGACUUUUGAGGUUGGACCUCGUGUAUUUUUCAUUAUGCAUGUUUAAGUAUGGUCCUCAUACAUUCCUGUACUCCAACAUGGUUAUGGGGGCCAUUGAAUGGAAUGUGGGAGUUUGAAUAUGCUUGUCACAGGGAGUGACUCUAUUUAGUGGUGUGAGCUUGUUGGAGGAAGUGGAUAUCUCUGGGGGUGGACUCUGAAGCUCCACCAAGUGCAAAACAGACCCUCCUAUUCCCUCCCUGGAAGACAGUUUCUUCCUGGCUGCCUUUGGAUCAAAAUGCAGAACUCUCAGCUCCUCCAGCAUCAUGUCUGCCUGCAUGCUGCUGCUGUGCUUCCUGCUAUGAUGAAAAUGGACUAAACCUCUGAAACUGUAAGCCAGCCCCAAUUAAAGGUUUGCUUUUAUGAGAGUUGCCUUGGUCAUGAUGUCUAUUCCUAGCGAUGGAAACACUAAGACAGAAACCUUGGGAGUUUAUUUAAUAUGGUGAAGCGUUUGCACAAUUCUGUGGGCUUCAUCAUCAUGAAAGAAUAUGUACUGGAGCCAGACAGUGGUGGUGCAUGCCUUUAAUCCCAGCACUUGGGAGGAAGAUGCAGGAGGACCUCUGAGUUCUCGGCCAGCCUGGUCUACAAAGUGAGUUCCAGGACAGCCUGGGCUAUAGAGAGAAACCCUGUCUUGAAAAACCAAAACACAACAAAACAGUAUGUUUUGGAGAGAAACCUUUUGAAUGUACUUACUAUGGUUAAGCUUCUUCCUACGGUUAAGAAGGAAUGACUUUGACAGAUACAGUUCUCAUUCUCUGUCUUUAGAACGUGAGCAUCACAUAGGAGUUCCGACAAGCUCAUUCUUGGACCCUGUCUACAUGUGUUAAAUCAGAAGUUUUGCUCUCAGUGUAUGACCUCUAGAAAAAUAAUUAAAGGUGGCCCCUGAACUCUAUAUUUCUGACUCUCCAGUUACUACUAAUCUAUCUUUGAAGCAGAGGCCCCAUGUCCUUGAGCUCUCUUUGGGAGCAGAGGUGAUCAGAAAGGUAGUCAAGGGCUCUGAAGCCCCUCAGGCACAUGUGAGGUUUCAGGCAACACCAGGCCCACUGAAGCACACACACAAAACUGUGUUGAGGAUUAAUCUAAUGUGUGCUCUCUGACACAGCGUUUGCAACACAGCAGGUAGAACUUGCCAUAUCCACCCAACAAACCCCAUACACAUCUAGGAAACUUCUACAACUCAGAAACUCCUGUUGCACCUGAAAUUGGAUUUCCCAGAAUCAUGCCAGGUUCAAUGGUGGGAGUGGAAAAGUGAAAAUAUUGUGAUCAAGUAUUGCUAAACGAUGAUCCCCAUCACUGCCUUUAUACCACUUUCAAAUACUUCAUAACAUUUGUCACACAACAGUGAAUGUGUUUGAGCCUAUCCCUAACUCUUAACCCUAACCACUAAUUCCUUACCCUGUUAUCUGUUGACUCUCCUCUAUGUAUACUGAAUAGAGUAUAGAAUUAGGCUUAGAUUAAUGCCAGUUUUUCAUUAAUGUUUGCCUGAAGACAGACUUUUUUCCCAUAUGUUUUUCCUUCAAGUCUCAUACUCUAAGUGCCUUAAAUGCCUCACUUAUUCCUUCAGAACUUGCAAGCAUUUUUGUAGGGUUUUUUUUCCAUGUUGGAACGUUCCUUCAUAAUCUACAUAUAACGCCUAUUUUGUUAAAACUCUUUCAAUGUUUAUACCACUCUAACAUUUUAUAUUUGCUAAUACCAUAAGAUACAAUAGGUUUAACAAAUCCACCAUCUCCUGUGAGAACAUUUAUUCAAGGGUGGGGAAUAAGCAAUGUUUAUCUCCACUUUCUAAGUUCUCAGUGGCACCACAUCUCAAAAUUAACAUAGUUAACCAAAUUACCAUAGUUCAUGCCAGUGAAAUUACUGAGUUUUCCUUAUAAAAUAUUGACAAGGUGUUUCUUAUGAGACCUGGAUAUCCUAGAAUCAGUCACAAUAAAAAUGCUUUACACAUUUUGUAUGGAGACAGUUUCACAUUACAUAAAUAGUUACACCUCUUCCCCCUUUAAAAAUACUGGCCAGCCAAGUCCUC